rnacentral:lncRNA from 1 species
AUGUCUUCAGUGGAGGAAGUUAAAGUGGAAACGAUUGUUUCCAUCGGGAAAAACGUCCUUUUGCCAAUAAUAGUGAAGCAUUUGUAUGGCAUCUCAACAAAAGACUGGAGAAUAAUGAUGACCGGACUGGACAAGUUGAGAAUAGACGUUUCGUUAGCACACAUGCUUAAUGAAAUGUAUCGGGUUGCCUCAUCCCAGGUUUUAUGCAUUAUAUUGCCCAGAAUCUGUACAUACAGGAAAACUUUGGGGAAAUAUGAGUACACUGUAACUGCUAGAAUGCAAGACAAAAUCAGUGAAUGUGUCUCAGACUCACUGAGGAUGCCAUUUCAGAAAACCAGCAGCGCCACGACUUUAAAAGGUGUUCUGGAGAAGGAGAUCUCAAAAAAUGUGAGUAAUGUUGCGUCUUCCAUUGUUAAUAACAGGCUUAUUCCUACAGUGCCAUCAGAUUAUGUCAAAGACUUUACACUUUGUCCUGACGUACUACGAUACACAACACUAUUGUUAUUCAUGGUUGUUAGAAAAUAUGCUCUGGAAAUGAAAGAACCGUUUGUUCAACGUUGGAAAAUACAAGAUGAGAACCUUCUCGAUUGGGACAAAGUCAUCGAUUACAAGGGUAGCGACGGCGUUAUGGUUGUCAAGACAGAUUAUAGUUGGCCCAAACCAGACAUAGGAGAAAAAUGUAAAGACAGAAAGCCAUCUUUUAUUUUAGAGGAUAUCAAGAAAUCAUCCUUUGACAUAGAAAACCGUAGAGACGACCAGUUGCCUGGCCAAGAUUGUCAGACAGAAAACAGACUCUCUGUCGACAUAUCAGAAGAUGCAGAUUUUAAUACGCAGACCGAAGAAAGAAAUUUGGCAGAAUUACCAAGAGAAUCCAGUGACCAGAUCCAAGUCACGCAAAAUAACCCAAUGCCAAAUCAAGAAACUGAUAACGAGAAGACCAACGGUCUUGACUUGAUCCCUGAGAAAACGGCAGGUUCUUUACUUUCAAGUCUAUUUAUCAGAUUUAUGCUAAAAUCAUCAAAUGAAUUUGUCGGACAACUAGACAGAGAAAGAAUAGACGAGGUAAUGAAAUGUCUGAAACAGAAAAUUCUACCUUUUCUAAAGCAUAUUUCAGAAAAACUGGACGAUGAAGACAUGGAGCUCUAUGUUAAAAAGAUGGUUACACAUUUGUGUAAGACAUUUCACAAACCUGAACUAAUGUUUAAAGCUGCAAUGGAACCAGGGGGUGACGAGUUUGCUAAUGCUUUAUGUGAAUAUUUGAAAACACAUCCACCCAGUCAGGCUAAUUUCUUUGUCAGGUUCUGUUCAGCAGUGAGAAAGUUUUUCAAGAGGCGCUGUAUAUGA